CUGCUGCCUCCCGUAGGAGUCUGGUCCGUGUCUCAGUACCAGUGUGGGGGACCUUCCUCUCAGAACCCCUACGCAUCGUCGCCUUGGUGGGCCGUUACCCCGCCAACUAGCUAAUGCGCCGCAUGCCCAUCCGUCUCCGAUAUUCUUUCAAAACCAGACGAUGCCGUCCAGCUUCAUACGGGGUAUUAGACGCCGUUUCCGACGAUUAUCCCCCUGAGACGGGCAGGUUGCAUACGUGUUACUCACCCGUGCGCCGGUCGCCGG
rnacentral:rRNA from 1 species